AUUGAACGCUGGCGGCAGGCCUAACACAUGCAAGUCGAGCGGAUGAAGGGAGCUUGCUCCUGGAUUCAGCGGCGGACGGGUGAGUAAUGCCUAGGAAUCUGCCUGGUAGUGGGGGAUAACGUCCGGAAACGGGCGCUAAUACCGCAUACGUCCUGAGGGAGAAAGUGGGGGAUCUUCGGACCUCACGCUAUCAGAUGAGCCUAGAUCGGAUUAGCUAGUUGGUGGGGUAAAGGCCUACCAAGGCGACGAUCCGUAACUGGUCUGAGAGGAUGAUCAGUCACACUGGAACUGAGACACGGUCCAGACUCCUACGGGAGGCAGCAGUGGGGAAUAUUGGACAAUGGGCGAAAGCCUGAUCCAGCCAUGCCGCGUGUGUGAAGAAGGUCUUCGGAUUGUAAAGCACUUUAAGUUGGGAGGAAGGGCAGUAAGUUAAUACCUUGCUGUUUUGACGUUACCAACAGAAUAAGCACCGGCUAACUUCGUC
rnacentral:rRNA from 1 species